GUCACUCCUUUUUCCCACUCUCUGACAAAUGUCACAUGUCUGACAAUACUGUCUCACAUCUCUAGAUAUACCUGGCCAGAAAAAUGCAUGUGUCAAUCUGUACCUCGUUCUUGUCAUCCCUAAAUGCCCAGACAGCGGAAUAUCGUGGGCAAUUCUAAGCAGUUCCUGCCGGUAUUUCUGGGGCACUAUAAGCUGCUUAUUAGUCACAUGUACAGACCCCCCUACCACCCGCUCAGCAAC